rnacentral:rRNA from 1 species
UGGGGAAUAUUGCACAAUGGAGGGAACUCUGAUGCAGCGACGCCGCGUGAGUGAUGAAGGAAUUCGUUUCGUAAAACUCUGUUCUAUGGGAAGAAAAGGACUGUACCAUAGGAGAAAGCUCCGGCUAAAUACGUGCCAGCAGCCGCGGUAAUACGUAUGGAGCGAGCGUUGUCCGGAAUUAUUGGGCGUAAAGGGUGCGCAGGCGGCUUUACAAGUUGGAUGUGAAAUAUUGUGGCUCAACCACAAACGUGCAUCCAAAACUGCAAAGCUUGAGUUAAGGAGAGGUAAGUGGAAUUUUUAGUGUAGCGGUGAAAUGCGUAGAUAUUAAAAAGAAUACCGGUGGCGAAGGCGACUUACUGGGCUCAUUCUGACGCUGAGGAACGAAAGCGUGGGUAGCAAACAGG